GGGCCCGCACAAGCGGUGGAGCAUGUGGUUUAAUUCGAUGAUACGCGAGGAACCUUACCAGGGCUUAAAUGUACGUUGCAUUAGUUAGAGAUAGCUAUUUCUUCGGACUACGUACAAGGUGCUGCAUGGUUGUCGUCAGCUCGUGCCGUGAGGUGUCAGGUUAAGUCCUAUAACGAGCGCAACCCCUGUUGUUAGUUGCCAGCGAGUGAUGUCGGGAACUCUAACAAGACUGCCGGUGCAAACCGUGAGGAAGGUGGGGAUGACGUCAAAUCAUCACGGCCCUUACGUCCUGGGCUACACACGUGCUACAAUGGCCGGUACAGAGAGCAGCCACACCGUGAGGUGGAGCGAAUCUUCAAAGCCGGUCUCAGUUCGGAUCGGAGUCUGCAACUCGACUCCGUGAAGCUGGAAUC
rnacentral:rRNA from 1 species